AGGUAAAAAAGUAGGCAGUGGAGUAAUAAAAAAGUUAAAGAUGAGAGUGUAUUUGAGAGGGAGAUGCAGAUACAAAUCCUCUCUUCUUUUACUUUUUUAAUAGUAAGUGUGGUGGUAUGUGUUUUUGUAUGAGUAUAUGUGUUUUUUUAAUUGUUCAUUUUCUCCAAUAGUUUUUUGCAAGAGCAUACGUAGGUAUGUUUUGGUAGGUCUUUAUUAGUGUGGGGUUUGUGAGGUGGUCUAGGGCAAGGGGAAUGUUUAGAGAACCUUCCUUUUUGCAAUGGCUGUUGAUGUGAUCAGAUGGUCCUAGAAUGUUGGGCUGCAUG
rnacentral:lncRNA from 1 species